rnacentral:rRNA from 1 species
UACGGAGGGUGCAAGCGUUGUCCGGAAUUACUGGGCGUAAAGCGCGCGCAGGCGGCCCGCGAGGUGUCACGUGAAAGCCCCGGGCUCAACCCGGGAGGGUCGUGGCAAACCGGCGGGCUUGAGGCCGGUAGAGGUGGGUGGAACUCCUGGUGGAGUGGUGAAAUGCGUAGAGAUCAGGAAGAACACCCGUGGCGAAGGCGGCCCACUGGGCCGGUGCUGACGCUGAGGCGCGAAGGCGUGGGGAGCGAACGGG